GAUGAACGCUGCGGCGUGCCUAAUACAUGCAAGUCGAGCGAAUGGAUUAAGAGCUUGCUCUUAUGAAGUUAGCGGCGGACGGGUGAGUAACACGUGGGCAACCUGCCCAUAAGACUGGGAUAACUCCGGGAAACCGGGGCUAAUACCGGAUAACAUUUUGAACCGCAUGGUUCGAAAUUGAAAGGCGGCUUCGGCUGUCACUUAUGGAUGGACCCGCGUCGCAUUAGCUAGUUGGUGAGGUAACGGCUCACCAAGGCAACGAUGCGUAGCCGACCUGAGAGGGUGAGCGGCCACGCUGGGACUGGGACACGGCACAGACUCCUACGGGAGGUAGCAGUAGGGAAUCUUCCGCAAUGGACGAAAGUCUGACGGAGCAACGCCGCGUGAGUGAUGAAGGCUUUCGGGUCGUAAAACUCUGUUGUUAGGGAAGAACAAGUGCUAGUUGAAUAAGCUGGCACCUUGACGGUACCUAACCAGAAAGCCACGGCUAACUACGUGCCAGCCGCCGCGGUAA
rnacentral:rRNA from 1 species